UGCCAGCUGGCAGUAAUCAAGGGCAGCUGAGCCUCCUUAGGCUCAGAACCUUGAAGAGCAGCUUAGCUCAGUCAAGGCAGAGAAGGGACAUUCUGCUUGUUGGAGACCAGGACAGGGUGCUCUAGAGACGAAUAUUGUUUAUAGUACUGUGUAAGGAUUCCCGCUGCAGGAAGAAAAUGUGGCUAGAAGUAGCAUUGUGGUUUGGUUUCUUUGGCUGUGCAAGACCUGAAGUCUCAGAGCGAGUAGUUCAGCCUGGACUUCCUGGGAAACUUCUCUCCAGCUAUGUAGUCCCAGACUCUGCCCUGUGUGGGAUUUUUCAUGGGCUGCUCACCAGAGACGAGUAGAAAGGAUUCCAUUUAAAUGUGCCUUCUACCUGAGCACCCCUCUAAACAUGCAGUGAUCCUCCUCCCAGCUGUGACCCAGCAUUGUUGGCAGCAGGGAUUUCACUGUUUCAUGCCUCUUACAAAAGGAGGCAGAGUGCCUAGUGAUUAGAGCACUGGACGGGGACUCAGGCAGCCCUUGGGUGCAUUCAGUUCAGAAUAUUACUUGGUCAGCCUCUGCAAUUCCUCUCUGAAAACCUCAUUUGAGGAAGAUAAUAAGGUAAGUCUGUUGAUCAGCCAAUACUAGUUGCUGGAUACAGGGUUAAUUCUUUGAGUGGGUUGCCUAAAAAUAAACUUUGUCAUUUUAUACCACACACGCACUUCCCUCAUCUCAAAAAGUUUGAUAAUUUUUACUCUUAUCUCACCUUCCUAAAGAGAAGAAAUAUGUUUUGAAAUGUGCUGGAACCUCAAGAAAAGUCCAUUUCAAGUUUCAGAGUAGCAGCCGUGUUAGUCUGUAUUCGCAAAAAGAAAAGGAGUAUUUGUGGCACCUUAGACUAACCAAUUUAUUUGAGCA